GUGAUGGAAAUUCCUUUAAGGUGAUUGAUGACCGGUUCACCCCUUGCUGA
rnacentral:snoRNA from 1 species